AGGAGCAGGAAGGAGUAGGAACUUUUCUUUCGACUGCUCCAUCUCUCACACAGAAAGCAAAGCAGAGCAGCUCUGUUAAGAAGGGGCCCAAAACCUAAGAACGUGGGUGUAGCAGCUAUUGCAUUGCCUGGGUUUUGCUAAGAACAUCUGAAGUGUUGUCAGACAUUUUAUCUUGGGCGAUUUGUUUCAUCAGCCAGAUGCAGAGGCCCACCAGGAGCUGAACCGCUUGGGGCUACAAAGGCCACAGCAGUCUACGGACAGCUCGGGCUCCAGAGAUGUGUCUGCUGGUAGAGCCUGGCACACGAACACUUAGAAAAGAUGAUUUGCUUCACUGGUGACCAAGCAACUGAGCUGCUGAUGGAGGAUGGAGAACUUGCUGUGCGGACAGACGCCAGAGGAAUUGCUGACUUACCAGAUUCGGUGCUACUUGGAAGAAGUGGGAUGCUGCUACGUUUCGGCUCUGAGAACCCUGAGAGUAACGCAGUUCCCUCUUUACCAUUUGCUGAAGAGCUACAAGAGAGUAAAACUGAGGCAGAGGCAGGACAGAACAGGGUGCAGACCCACACAGCACACACGGGAGUGGUAUGCCCUGUGAAGAACAGUUAAGGCUGAAAACACUUUUUGGCCACUGUCUCCUGUGGGUUCUGAGACUUCCAAAGCGAGUCCAGACAGGAAGUAUGAGAAGAAGAUACUGAAGGCCCAAGAGGAGCAUAGAAACAUCAUUUUACCUCACGCAGCUCAGAGGAGCACAAUUAGAUUUCUCAACUUUGAGACUCCCCAGUGAGAGAAAGCAAUCCUUUUACCUGUAUUUGUCACAUGCUGCAAGUGACUCAUCAAAAAACACCAAAAACACCUAUUAGAGAAGGAAGUCUUUGUACAGCCACCUCUUGUUUGAUGGAGAAAGUAGGAGACCUGUUGUAGGCCGUGGAGGAGCUGCCAGUUACCAAAAGAGCUUUAAACUGGGGAGGGAAAGAACUUUUCAAAACUCUGGAAGAUAUGCACCGUAAUUUAAACGCAAGCAUGGUUUUUUCUUGGAUACGCAGUUGCAAAUAUAUGUAUACAUACAUAUUUUAUUAUUUUUUAAUUAUUAUUUUGUAAAAUGUUCUCUCCUGAUUCGAGUACUUCAAAAUAUCACUCUCGCUCCUAUUUCAGCUUGGAAUUUCUUCUGGGAACAAAUAGGAAGAAAUAUCCCAAAAAGACAUUAGUAUGAGCAAUCAUGUCUAUAAAAUCUAUACAAUGCUGAAAGAAUGUUGCAGCUACUCCAGCACUCUGUUACGGAUAUUUAAAGGUUGGUUUGCUGAAUCUUAAGAUCUUCAAAUUAACCAAGUAUUUAAUGCACUGCUCUGCAUUCCUGGGUUAACCAAAUCUGAGUGAUAUUUUAAACUGAGCAAAAUAAAGCAUGACCUGGAUUAGGUAAUGGAUGAUGAGGUGCAAUUAACAUUACUAUUCAAAAUAAUGGGCCAGAUUCUCUUUGCUACAGAAUUUCUGCUUGGUUCAGCAGGAAGGAGGGUCAAAAAAACAAUUACUGCUCCCAACUUCUUUGAUCCAGUCUUGAAACACAGACAAGCCUCAAGUCUGCUUUAACAUGCAGCAGAAGGCAAAACCCCUUAAAACACACUCUGACAGUUUGAUGCUUCAAGAAAGCUUGAGGACUUCAGCUUCUCCCUGUCUCCCUGUUGGUUUUAACAGAAAUGGUCUGUAGGAUGCUGUAAAGCUGUGAAGUUUUUUUUAAAAAACAGUUUAUCAUGAAGGUUAACUGGGUAAAGUCUCAAUUCAAUGACUUUCCUAGAGAGGAAAUUAAACCAGAAACAGGGAGUGAUCGCUCCAAAGAACUUGCAGUACGUCCCAACUUAACACUAAACAAGCUUAAGAAGUGUUUCUUUUGCUCACUCAUGGAUGCCAUCUGAGCAAAGCUGUACUAUCAGAAGUUACACAGGAAGCUUGGUGAGGCUCGGCAGACAGCUUGGUGCUUCAUUCCCCCUCAGCGAUAGCCAGGAAAUCCCUGAGUAUUCCUGGGAGAAAAGAGCCCUGGAGUGGACAUCAGUGCGAAAAGACAAAUUCAGAAGAACACUGCUGAACUGCUUCUCCACUUCCACAGCUAAUUUACACCUGAAAGGUCUGAAAUAACCACUAUUGAAAUGCUCCUGAUGUGACUCAUUGCAUUUCGUCUUCUGCAAAUUUGAUACCAAUAUCGUAAAAAAGAAUUUGAGCCCUUGAUUUGCUACCAGAAACUUGUUCUCAUCUUUAAGGUUUCUGGUAUUGAGAACAGUUUCAAAGAAACUCAGCGAACUAUUCAUAUCAAACCUCUCACUGAGGUAGCUUUGUGGACACCUGUAACCAAGAAGGAAUUUUGAACACACAGAGACUGAAUGUGAUUCCAUCAGGCUGCCAUUGCCAGUCUGAGGGCUUGUACCUACAACGUGCUGCUUCUGAAGACUCUGAGGAGCCUGCACUAAGUAAUGCAGCAAUUCUGGGACUUUCAGAAAUUCAAAGCCGCUUGGAAAUGAGGAGUUAUCAAUGCUAGGAUUGUACAACCACAUAUCCAGUUCCCAGUCCUAUAUGGUAAAGAAAUUUCUCUUCUUCCUGUGAAAAAGAUGGAUAGUUUAAAUCUAAAUAAAUUUAUAUAGAACCUAUGGAUAUAACAAAUACUGGGGCCAACAGCACUCAAGCAUCUUAUCUGUAGACAAGCACAUAACAUUACUCUGUAAUCUGCCAGCAAGUUCAAAGUUUCAUUUUAAAAGCUGAUUUUACUACUGAGUUCUCAGGAAAUAAAGAUUUUUAAAAG
rnacentral:lncRNA from 7 species